AACUCGUCUGGGAGAGCCGCAGGGAGCACGGGCGUACUGUCGUGAAUCCAGAACGGGGCUGCACCCGACGCACUUGGCACUGGCAGUUUGCAUCAGUGGCGGAUGCAAGCAUGCAAUCCAUGCCUAGUAGAAGCUUAUUCUUCCUCCCUCCUCUUUUUUCUUCGUUUCCUUCUCUUUUUCUUCCUCAAAAGACUCAAGGAGGGCUCCACUGUCCGAGAGGCGGUAGGGGAACUUGAGCCCCACCCGCUCCAUUGCUAGAUCCAC
rnacentral:lncRNA from 1 species